rnacentral:rRNA from 1 species
GGUUAAGUUAGAAAGGGCGCACGGUGGAUGCCUUGACACUAGGAGUCGAUGAAGGACGGGACUAACGCCGAUAUGCUUCGGGGAGCUGUAAGUAAGCUUUGAUCCGAAGAUUUCCGAAUGGGGAAACCCACCAUACGUAAUGGUAUGGUAUCCUUAUCUGAAUACAUAGGGUAAGGAAGACAGACCCAGGGGACUGAAACAUCUAAGUACCUGGAGGAAGAGAAAGCAAAUGCGAUUUCCUGAGUAGCGGCGAGCGAAACGGAACAUAGCCCAAACCAAGAGGCUUGCCUCUUGGGGUUGUAGGACAUUCUAUACGGAGUUACAAAGGAACGAGGUAGACGAAGCGACCUGGAAAGGUCCGUCGUAGAGGGUAACAACCCCGUAGUCGAAACUUCGUUCUCUCUUGAAUGUAUCCUGAGUACGGCGGAACACGUGAAAUUCCGUCGGAAUCUGGGAGGACCAUCUCCCAAGGCUAAAUACUCCCUAGUGAUCGAUAGUGAACCAGUACCGUGAGGGAAAGGUGAAAAGCACCCCGGAAGGGGAGUGAAAGAGAUCCUGAAACCGUGUGCCUACAAAUAGUCAGAGCCCGUUAACGGGUGAUGGCGUGCCUUUUGUAGAAUGAACCGGCGAGUUACGAUCCCGUGCGAGGUUAAGCUGAAGAGGCGGAGCCGCAGCGAAAGCGAGUCUGAAUAGGGCGUUUAGUACGUGGUCGUAGACCCGAAACCAGGUGAUCUACCCAUGUCCAGGGUGAAGUUCAGGUAACACUGAAUGGAGGCCCGAACCCACGCACGUUGAAAAGUGCGGGGAUGAGGUGUGGGUAGCGGAGAAAUUCCAAUCGAACCUGGAGAUAGCUGGUUCUCCCCGAAAUAGCUUUAGGGCUAGCCUUAAGUGUAAGAGUCUUGGAGGUAGAGCACUGAUUGGACUAGGGGUCCUCAUCGGAUUACCGAAUUCAGUCAAACUCCGAAUGCCAAUGACUUAUCCUUAGGAGUCAGACUGCGAGUGAUAAGAUCCGUAGUCAAAAGGGAAACAGCCCAGACCGCCAGCUAAGGUCCCAAAGUGUGUAUUAAGUGGAAAAGGAUGUGGAGUUGCUUAGACAACUAGGAUGUUGGCUUAGAAGCAGCCACCAUUUAAAGAGUGCGUAAUAGCUCACUAGUCGAGUGACUCUGCGCCGAAAAUGUACCGGGGCUAAAUACACCACCGAAGCUGCGGAUUGAUACCAAUGGUAUCAGUGGUAGGGGAGCGUUCUAAGGACAGUGAAGUCAGACCGGAAGGACUGGUGGAGUGCUUAGAAGUGAGAAUGCCGGUAUGAGUAGCGAAAGACGGGUGAGAAUCCCGUCCACCGAAUGCCUAAGGUUUCCUGAGGAAGGCUCGUCCGCUCAGGGUUAGUCAGGACCUAAGCCGAGGCCGACAGGCGUAGGCGAUGGACAACAGGUUGAUAUUCCUGUACCACCUCUUUAUCGUUUGAGCAAUGGAGGGACGCAGAAGGAUAGAAGAAGCGUGCGAUUGGUUGUGCACGUCCAAGCAGUUAGGCUGAUAAGUAGGCAAAUCCGCUUAUCGUGAAGGCUGAGCUGUGAUGGGGAAGCUCCUUAUGGAGCGAAGUCUUUGAUUCCCCGCUGCCAAGAAAAGCUUCUAGCGAGAUAAAAGGUGCCUGUACCGCAAACCGACACAGGUAGGCGAGGAGAGAAUCCUAAGGUGUGCGAGAGAACUCUGGUUAAGGAACUCGGCAAAAUGACCCCGUAACUUCGGGAGAAGGGGUGCUUUCUUAACGGAAAGCCGCAGUGAAUAGGCCCAAGCGACUGUUUAGCAAAAACACAGCUCUCUGCGAAGCCGUAAGGCGAAGUAUAGGGGGUGACACCUGCCCGGUGCUGGAAGGUUAAGGAGAGGGGUUAGCGUAAGCGAAGCUCUGAACUGAAGCCCCAGUAAACGGCGGCCGUAACUAUAACGGUCCUAAGGUAGCGAAAUUCCUUGUCGGGUAAGUUCCGACCCGCACGAAAGGUGUAACGAUUUGGGCACUGUCUCAACCAGAGACUCGGUGAAAUUAUAGUACCUGUGAAGAUGCAGGUUACCCGCGACAGGACGGAAAGACCCCGUGGAGCUUUACUGUAGCCUGAUAUUGAAUUUUGGUACAGUUUGUACAGGAUAGGCGGGAGCCUUUGAAACCGGAGCGCUAGCUUCGGUGGAGGCGCUGGUGGGAUACCGCCCUGACUGUAUUGAAAUUCUAACCUACGGGUCUUAUCGACCCGGGAGACAGUGUCAGGUGGGCAGUUUGACUGGGGCGGUCGCCUCCUAAAGUGUAACGGAGGCGCCCAAAGGUUCCCUCAGAAUGGUUGGAAAUCAUUCGUAGAGUGCAAAGGCAUAAGGGAGCUUGACUGCGAGACCUACAAGUCGAGCAGGGACGAAAGUCGGGCUUAGUGAUCCGGUGGUUCCGCAUGGAAGGGCCAUCGCUCAACGGAUAAAAGCUACCCCGGGGAUAACAGGCUUAUCUCCCCCAAGAGUCCACAUCGACGGGGAGGUUUGGCACCUCGAUGUCGGCUCAUCGCAUCCUGGGGCUGUAGUCGGUCCCAAGGGUUGGGCUGUUCGCCCAUUAAAGCGGUACGCGAGCUGGGUUCAGAACGUCGUGAGACAGUUCGGUCCCUAUCCGUCGUGGGCGUAGGAAAUUUGAGAGGAGCUGUCCUUAGUACGAGAGGACCGGGAUGGACGCACCGCUGGUGUACCAGUUGUUCUGCCAAGGGCAUAGCUGGGUAGCUAUGUGCGGAAGGGAUAAGUGCUGAAAGCAUCUAAGCAUGAAGCCCCCCUCAAGAUGAGAUUUCCCAUAGCGUAAGCUAGUAAGAUCCCUGAAAGAUGAUCAGGUUGAUAGGUUCGAGGUGGAAGCAUGGUGACAUGUGGAGCUGACGAAUACUAAUAGAUCGAGGACUUAACCAU